rnacentral:rRNA from 1 species
AGAGUUUGAUCCUGGCUCAGGACGAACGCUGGCGGCGUGCUUAACACAUGCAAGUCGAGCGAGGUCCAUCCAGUCGCAAGACUGGGGAAGACCUAGCGGCGAACGGGUGAGUAACACGUGAGCAACCUGCCCCGAAGACUGGGAUAACACCGGGAAACCGGUGCUAAUACCGGAUGUCCUCCCCUGGUCGCAUGGCCUAAGGAGGAAAGGAAUUUUGCUUCGGGAGGGGCUCGCGGGCUAUCAGCUUGUUGGUGAGGUAACGGCUCACCAAGGCGACGACGGCUAGCUGGUCUGAGAGGACGACCAGCCACACUGGGACUGAGACACGGCCCAGACUCCUACGGGAGGCAGCAGUGGGGAAUCUUGCGCAAUGGGCGAAAGCCUGACGCAGCAACGCCGCGUGGGGGAUGAAUGCCUUCGGGUUGUAAACCCCUUUCAGCAGGGACGAAAAUGACGGUACCUGCAGAAGAAGCCCCGGCCAACUACGUGCCAGCAGCCGCGGUAAUACGUAGGGGGCGAGCGUUGUCCGGAUUUAUUGGGCGUAAAGAGCUCGUAGGCGGCUUGGCAAGUCGGGUGUGAAACCUCCAGGCUCAACCUGGAGACGCCACUCGAUACUGCCAUGGCUAGAGUCCGGUAGGGGACCACGGAAUUCCUGGUGUAGCGGUGAAAUGCGCAGAUAUCAGGAGGAACACCGGUGGCGAAGGCGGUGGUCUGGGCCGGCACUGACGCUGAGGAGCGAAAGCGUGGGUAGCAAACAGGAUUAGAUACCCCCGUAGUCC